CCCUGGGGCAUAAAAUUGAGCCUAAAUACCUGAUCUCAUCUGAUGUCACAAACUAAGCAAAACUGGGCCUGUUUAAAACCUGGGUAGGAAAGCACUUGGGAAUAAUGGGUGCCAUAGGAC
rnacentral:rRNA from 1 species